CUGGGAGUCUUUCUUCUUCCUUCCUGGUUCUAGAAGGAAGCAGGGGUCUGGGGGCGGGACACAUGGAUCCCCCACCCAUUCUGUGUCAGGAGUGCCGCUGGGUAUCUGACACACCAGCUCAUCUGCACCCCUUCCCCACCCAUGCCAUGCUACAGAUGAGGCUCACAGACAUGGGGAGGGGGUAACCUGGCCACCAGUAAGGGCCGAGCUCCAGACAAGGUCCAGGCCCUCACCUUCCUAAAGAUAGCUCAUCCCUUGAAGGCAGGUUUCAGAGAGACACACCCCUCACUCCAGGAACAUAGAAGCCUGGAAUGGAAGGGGCAGUGGCCAGACCCCUAAUAGGGAAAGGGGAGCCCAAGGGGAACCCAGCUUUCAGCGUCUCCAGAGGGGUGCCGGCCCCUCCUUUGCCUGCUCUUUAUCAGGACUGCCUUCAGCCUCUUCCUGCUCUCCCUCCUCCCUGUGAGUCCCCAUCCCCACCCCCAGGUGAGCUCAGACCCUGCUGAUUAGAGUCUCGGGGUCAGCCAGGCCCUGGCCUCUCCUCUGGGAUUCACCAGCCUCAACUCUUCCAGCCUAGAACGGCAGGUUCCUUCUAAGCUCUCAGCCCUUCCUGCCAACAGCGUUUAGCCAAGAUCAGGUUUUCUCUGACAGCAAACCAGCAAAGUCUGAUGGUUGGGAUGGCUCAAAUCCCAGCUCUGCCAUCACCACCCACGUGACCGUGAGAGUGUCUCCAGCCUCUCUGUACCGCAGAGGCGAGUCUCUUCCCCGAAGACGGGUGGGAUCCCCACGGCUGCUGCAAACCUCCUCACACACGAGCAGAGCAGCGGUUCACCUGGAGCGCUCUGUGGGUCUUUUCCUUCCUCCAGGUUCCUCAGUGAAGGAUGGUUGCUCUGCAGACCCACAGCUGGGAGGAAAUCAGAGUGGGCUGGAUGGAAUCGAGGCUGCAGCUUGCCCUCCAUAACGAAGCUGCACCUUCCCUGCUCCCUGCUGGGUCCUGAAACUUGGAGCCUGAACAAACAACGAACCCUUGCUCAUAGACAGAAUGACAGAGGAAGGAUCUGCAAAGCAGGUGCUUCCACAGCCAGCUGACGUGUGAUGGGGCCUCCUGCAGUGUCUCGCACGUAGUAGGUCUCAAGUUUCCUGAAUCCGUGCCUUAGGGGUGGACUGGGCUGGGUGAGAAGUAGGACAAUGGCCGCUGGGCUUGCUGGGAAGAAUGACAAGCGGCACCCAUCUUAGGAUACUGGAGCUCAAGCAGGCUCUACACCCCAGACCAUGAAGCCUCUGCCAGCUGCCCACACGGCCGGCCGUCAGUCCCCCGUUUGGGUGGUGGUCUCAUCCAACCCCACAACAUCUCCCAGCCAGAAAGCCACUCUCUGAAUUCCUCUUGGGCUGGAAAGGAAUGAGCAAUGGUGCUAAUUGUGGAGCCGGCAGGAGAGGCUGGGAGGAGGCAGCUGAGAGAGAAAUCAUCUUGUGAUGCACCAAUUACUGAUCAGCUGGGACAUAAUUGCGGGGCUGCCAUCCCGGCUGCUGGAGGUACCAGGCCUCCCUCUCGUUAAUCAACGAUAAUCCAGAAUUACGACCCUUAAUGAUUUGCAAAGACACUUAAUGCACACACGCACACAUGCUCUCCCAUGGACACAAGUAAUUGAUAAUCAACCAUGUAAUUGGAGGCAAUAAUUCUGUCCAGGCCAAAUGACAGGCUCCACCCUGCCAGCAGAACAGAGCCCAAAUCACAGGCGACCCCUGCAAUGAGAAGCAGUUUCUGUCGGAGAGGAAGUCUCCUUCCCUCUUUGAGUGGGUACCUCCAGUUGUCUCGAGGCAGUAGGAGUGUGGUGAUUGUUUUUUUGGUUUCCUGUUAUUACUUAUCUAUAUUUUCUAAUUUUUGCACAUCAUUAUUUGUAGCAUUUAAAAGCAACCUUGUUGUUGUCACUGCUGAUUCAUGAUGUUAAACCAACUGCCUCCAGCCCCUCCACAUGCAAACCAACUAGGAGGAUGUUUUAAAAUGUGGAUUCCUGGGCCCCACCUAAGAUUUAGACUUAAGAAACCUGGUAGGGGGCUCAAGAAUCUGCAUUUUUAAUGAGCACUCCAAGUAAUGUGGAUGUAGAGGGUUCAGAAACCACCCUUUUAGGACUAAUAUCUUUUGGGAGGGAGAGGUAGGAGGAUCACGAGUUCAAAGCCAGCCUCAGCAAAAAUAAGGCGCUAAGCAACUCAAUGUGACCCUGUCUCUAAAUAAAAUACAAAAAAAUUAGGCUGGGAAUGUGGCUCAGUGGUCAACUGCCUCUGAGUUCAAUCUCCAUUACCAAAAAAAAAAAAAAAAAAGAACUAAUAUCUUCACCCAGCAUGGUGGUGUAGUUCUGUAACCUUAGCUACUUGGGGGGAUAUGAAGCAGAAAGAUCCCAAGUUCAAGGCCAGCCUCAGCAACCUUACCUAAGACCCUCAACAACUUAAGUGAGACUCUUGUCUCAAAAUGAAAAAUAGG